rnacentral:rRNA from 1 species
GACGAACGCUGGCGGCGUGCUUAACACAUGCAAGUCGAACGAAGAGCGACGGAAGCUUGCUUCUAUCAAUCUUAGUGGCGAACGGGUGAGUAACGCGUAAUCAACCUGCCCUUCAGAGGGGGACAACAGUUGGAAACGACUGCUAAUACCGCAUACGAUCUAAUCUCGGCAUCGAGGAUGGAUGAAAGGUGGCCUCUACAUGUAAGCUAUCACUGAAGGAGGGGAUUGCGGCUGAUUAGCUAGUUGGAGGGGUAACGGCGCACCAAGGCGAUGAUCAGUAGCCGGUCUGAGAGGAUGAACAGCCACAUUGGGACUGAGACACGGCCCAGACUCCUACGGGAGGCAGCAGUGCGGAAUCUUCCGCAAUGGACGAAAGUCUGACGGAGCAACGCCGCGUGAGUGAUGACGGCCUUCGGGUUGUAAAGCUCUGUUAAUCGGGACGAAAGGCCUUCUUGCGAAUAGUGAGAAGGAUUGACGGUACCGGAAUAGAAAGCCACGGCUAACUACGUG